UGCUGGUGUGGUCUUCUGGACGCGAGAUGUAAUCAGAGAAAGAGAACACUGCUGGAGGAACGGUGCCCAUAGCAGAACCUAUAGGAAUAUGACAAGGAACAGGGAAGAUCCUGUGCUUUGGCUGUUACCGUGGGGUGGGAUGAAGGCAUUAUGAAGACUUUUCUGGAGCAACAGAGUAAGCCCAGUUUUCCCCUGGCUUCCUGCCAACAGUUUUGAUAUGUUGGCUGGACUCUGAGUGGAGUCCUGCAUGUCUGGG